rnacentral:rRNA from 1 species
UGGGGAAUAUUGCACAAUGGGCGCAAGCCUGAUGCAGCGACGCCGCGUGAGGGAUGACGGCCUUCGGGUUGUAAACCUCUUUCAGCAGGGACGAAGCGCAAGUGACGGUACCUGUAGAAGAAGGACCGGCCAACUACGUGCCAGCAGCCGCGGCAAUACGUAGGGUCCGAGCGUUGUCCGGAAUUACUGGGCGUAAAGAGCUCGUAGGUGGUUUGUCGCGUUGUUCGUGAAAACUCACAGCUUAACUGUGGGCGUGCGGGCGAUACGGGCAGACUUGAGUACUGCAGGGGCGACUGGAAUUCCUGGUGUAGCGGUGGAAUGCGCAGAUAUCAGGAGGAACACCGGUGGCGAAGGCGGGUCUCUGGGCAGUAACUGACGCUGAGGAGCGAAAGCGUGGGGAGCGAACAGG